rfam:Gasterosteus aculeatus cont1.003904, whole genome shotgun sequence.
UUAAAAAUGCAAUGUAAGUCGCUUUGGAUAAAAGCGUCAGCUAAAUGACAUGUA